GCCCUUGUGGCGCAGUGGUAGCGCACCUACAUAUCUGUGACGACGUAUCCGUUUAUGUAGGCCGCGUCGGUUCGAUUCCGGCCGAGGGCU